rnacentral:rRNA from 1 species
CUCCUGGUCAUUUAGAGGAAGUAAAAGUCGUAUCAAGGUUUCCGUAGGUGACCUGCGGAAGGAUCAUUACUGAAUUGUCAACACGAGUUGUUGCUGGUCCCUCAAACGGGGGCAUGUGCACGCUCUGUUCACACAUCCACUCACACCUGUGCACCCUCUGUAGUUCUAUGGCUCUCGGGGGACUCUGUCCUCCUGUCGUGGUUCUACAUCUUUACACAAACACUGUAAUAAAGUCUCAUGGAAUGUAUGCCGCGUUUAACGCAAUACAAUACAACUUUCAGCAACGGAUCUCUUGGCUCUCGCAUCGAUGAAGAACGCAGCGAAAUGCGAUAAGUAAUGUGAAUUGCAGAAUUCAGUGAAUCAUCGAAUCUUUGAACGCACCUUGCGCCCUUUGGCUAUUCCGAAGGGCAUGCCUGUUUGAGUAUCAUGAACACCUCAACUCUCAUGGUUUGCCAUGAUGAGCUUGGACUUUGGGGGUCUUGCUGGCCAGUGGUCGGCUCCUCUCAAACGAAUCAGCUUGCCAGUGUUUGGUGGCAUCACGGGUGUGAUAACUAUCUACGCUUGUGGUUUUCUGCCAGAUAACCUUCAGUGACAUGGAGGUUUGCUGGAGCUCAUAAAUGUCUCUCCCCAGCGAAGACAGCUUUGUGAACGUUUGAUCUCAAAUCAGGUAGGACUACCCGCUGAACUUAAGCAUAUCAAUAA